GAGUAUAAGUAGCGGACGAAGCAAAUCUUCAAACAUUGUCUGUAAAGCAACGAUUACUAACAAUAUGAAUUCUAAAUUGUUCAUUUUUGCCAUAUUGGCAGCUGUUUUGUUGGUAUCCGUAUCCGCAGCACCAGCAAUGAAAAAAGGUGACAUCGUAGUAGUUGUGGGUCGCAAACGCCGCGACGUUAGUUGCUUCGAAGUUUCUGAUGGAUCUGUCGAACCAAAUGGUCCUGGUUGUGACCAAAUUGAAGUUCAUCGAAAGCUAACAUAAUGCGGAAGUUGUGUGUUAACCAACAUUGCAAAGUUAGACAGAGUUAACCAGUUCAGUCUUAAUUAGUUCGGUCCUUAGGUUUACUAUAACAAAAUGUAUACUAAUUUGUUGUAAUCUAUAAAACCUGCGAAAUAAAUAAAAAAUUGUAAAAAUGA